GACGAACGCUGGCGGCGUGCUUAACACAUGCAAGUCGAACGGAAAGGCCCUGCUUGCCGGGUGCUCGAGUGGCGAACGGGUGAGUAACACGUGGGUGAUCUGCCCCUUACUUUGGGAUAAGCCUGGGAAACUGGGUCUAAUACUGGAUAGGACCAUGCUGUAGGUGGUGUGGUGGAAAGAUUAGUUUCGGUAAGGGAUGAGCUCGCGGCCUAUCAGCUUGUUGGUGGGGUAAUGGCCUACCAAGGCGUCGACGGGUAGCCGGCCUGAGAGGGUGGACGGCCACAUUGGGACUGAGAUACGGACCAGACUCCUACGGGAGGCAGCAGUGGGGAAUAUUGCACAAUGGGCGCAAGCCUGAUGCAGCGACGCCGCGUGGGGGAUGACGGCCUUCGGGUUGUAAACUCCUUUCAGCCAUGACGAAGCCCUUGUGGUGACGGUAGUGGUAGAAGAAGCACCGGCUAACUACGUG
rnacentral:rRNA from 1 species